rnacentral:rRNA from 1 species
AUUGAACUCUGGCGGCAGGCCUAACACAUGCAAGUCGAGCGAGCGGCGGACGGGUGAGUAAUGUCUGGGAAACUGCCUGAUGGAGGGGGAUAACUACUGGAAACGGUAGCUAAUACCGCAUACCAUCAGAUGUGCCCAGGUGGGAUUAGCUAGUAGGUGGGGUAACGGCUCACCUAGGCGACGAUCCCUAGCUGGGCUGAGAGGAUGACCAGCCAAACUGGAACUGAGACACGGUCCAGACUCCUACGGGAGGCAGCAGUGGGGAAUAUUGCACAAUGGGUGCAAGCCUGAUGCAGCCAGGCCGCGUGUGUGAAGAAGGCCUUCGGGUUGUAAAGCACUUUCGGCGGGGAGGCGGUACCUGAAGAAGAAGCACCGGAGAACUCCGUGCCAGAAGCCGCGGUAAUUC